CCUACGGGAGGCAGCAGUAGGGAAUCUUCCACAAUGGGCGAAAGCCUGAUGGAGCAACGCCGCGUGGGUGAAGAAGGUCUUCGGAUCGUAAAACCCUGUUGUUAGAGAAGAAAGUGCGUGAGAGUAACUGUUCACGUUUCGACGGUAUCUAACCAGAAAGCCACGGCUAACUACGUGCCAGCAGCCGCGGUAAUACGUAGGUGGCACGCGUUGUCCGGAUUUAUUGGGCGUAAAGGGAACGCCGGCGGUCUUAUAAGUCUGAUGUGAAAUACUUGGGCUUAACGGGAGUAGUGCAUUGGAAACUGGUAGACUUGAGUGCAGAAGAGGAGAGUGGAACUCCAUGUGUAGCGGUGGAAUGCGUAGAUAUAUGGAAGAACACCAGUGGCGAAAGCGGCUCUCUGGUCUGUAACUGACGCUGAGGUUCGAAAGCGUGGGUAGCAAACAGGAUUAGAUACCCGAGUAGUC
rnacentral:rRNA from 1 species